UAAAAUGUUACCAAGUGUUAACUUUUCUAAUUUCGAUGGAUAGAGAAUCUUCAUCUAAGUUCAUUUAUUUAUACGUUUUAUUCGGUUUUAGUUGAAAUCUAAAUAUAAUUCAUGAUACAGUUACGCUAUAUAAGCUGUCUUAAAAAAUUCAAGCUCAUAGCGGUACGAGAUGAACCAAAUACUUACAGCAGAUGCUGAAGAGUUCUGGGUCUCCAAUGCAGUCAAAUAGAAUCUCAAGCUGUAAUAUUGUGCCGAAGAUCACUUAAGAAUUAGGUUACGGUCUAUAGAAGGCAAUGGUGUCUUGCACAAUAACAAAAGCAAUGUACCUAUAUUUUGGAAAAGUCACAUUGGCACUUGCCUGCAUUGGGAUUGAACCUGCACUGGUGUGUAAAAAUCUAUACAUAGAACAUUAAGACCACUUUAUUUUACUUUCUUUAACAAUCUGAAACCAAAAAAUGGACCUAAAAUGUUAACAAAACAAAAUAUGGGUUAGAUUUAUUUAUAUCAUUUAUAGACUGAUUAUAUUAUAGCCUUUUUAAUUUACAAAUAUCAACAUUGCAUUUAAUCUCUUUCAGGUGAAUACAAAUCAAAUAGACAGUUUCUCAUAUAUGAAAGGUGUUCUGCUAAUGAUAGAAAAAUAUUAUUACACAGUAUGCUAUUGUUGUUAUAGUUUUUGUAAACAUCCAUUGCAUUGUAUCGCACAAAGCAGCCGUUGGCCUCUAUAGGUUUCCUAGGAGAAGUCUAUGGUCAGCUUUCUGACGCUGAUGUUUAACCACCCAGUGUAGCUCAGGCUGUGAUACAUAGUUGGAACAAGGAGGUCCUAUGCUGUCUCUAAGGUGUGGUUCUCUGGAUGUCUUGUGUCUUGAAUAGCCUGACCUUUUUGCAAUUUUAGCUUUCUUUCCCGGGCCUUUCAAAUAAGUUCUUAAAACAAGAAAAGAUUGUCUAUUUUGGUAUGUUUACAUUGUUAUUUUAACUUCAAAGGGUUUCAUGUGUCUUUUUAGAAGAGUUUAUAUGGUUGUUAAGACAAUUUUAUUUGUUUUUUUUUUUCUGAAGAUGUUGGUUUCAAUUACGUUGUUGCUUUUGUAGACUGAAUUCAUUUUUUUUUGGAAAACUGUUAUUUUUUCACCAUAGUUGGCAAACUACAUAACUCUGAUUUUAAAGUUUUGAGAUAAACGCGAUUUUGGGUGUCUUUUUCAGAAAAUGUUCAUUUGUUGAAAAAAUUGAGACAAUACUGUCUUCGGUAAUUUUAUAUUUUGUGGUCCUGAUUACCUUUUACAUUAUGCUUGAACGAACUGGACUCUAUCUUCAACUAUGGAUGAAUAAAAAAUAUAAAAGUAAGUUAUUUAAUUUUGCCACAAGAAUUUUUUGUAACAUUACUGCGAUUAGUUAGGUAUUUAUUUAGGUUUUCCUACAACCCAGAUCUAUCUGUUGGAGUAAAAUGAGGUGAAAUUAAUGCAGUUAUUGAAUUUAUCAAACGAAAUAUGUUUAAAUGUAAAGUUGAAUGAUUUUUACUUUCAUAUUGUUACCUGUUAUUGGUGCCAUCUAAAGU